rnacentral:lncRNA from 1 species
UAAAGACAGCUGCAUUUACUUCCAUGGAUAAGAGAAUUCAGAUAAGAUACAACAGCAGUCAAACUGCGACAUCUUGCUCUACACAGAAUAAAAAAUGCUAAUGUGUUUAGGCCUACGUCAAGAGACCUCCAAUUACUGAGAUCUAUUUUUGAAUAGCACAUAUGUUUAUAUUUAUUUGGGCCACAAGCUGGAAACAAGAUCCCUGAUUGAAUUAAACUUCAAAGCUAAGAACUUACAGUUUCAAACACUUAGAUAAUUUUACAGUUGCAACGCUUGCAGGCCUCAGGUUCUCCUCUAAACCAUGAGGGUUGCCUCUAAAGAUUACCCCUGGAUCUAAAAGGUUGGUUGUAAUCAUGCAGACAAACAUGUUUCUUGACUUCGAUCAGGACAAAAAUGUUGCUUCCAAGAGUGGUGGUCUAAUGUUAUACUCGGUGGCCAGAAGCAGUUUGUAAAUACCAAGGUUAUGCCAUGACUUUUUAAAGUUUAAAUGUUGGGAGGGAGAUGGAGAGAAAGAGGGGGAGGGGGCUGCUGGGAGGGAGAUGAAGAGAAAAAGUUGAGAGGGGGCUG